CUAGUGUCAAAAUUCUCGGACCGCGAUGAAUUCGAUUCAUCGGUGGAUAAGUCCAUAGGAACAUUUUUGAAAUCCCAGUGCGAAAAAUGUCGAGCUCAGUCACACAAGGUUUAUCUCAAAUGUCAAAGUAGAACUAUUUACCAUAUUACUUAUUUCGAAUUUUCUCAUUAUUCCUUUGUUUUUCAAGUUCGAGUAAAGUACAAUUCCUAUUAGAAUACCAUGCUUGAUCGUAUUAUUCAAUAUAAGCGAGAUUUCGUCUUUAAUUUUAGGACCCUAUUCUAAGUUAGCCCUUUUGACAGCCAUGGUCGCGACUGUGGAGACGCUCGACACUACAGCGCUGUUGUGACGUAACGUCAAGAAGAUUCCGCAUCCUUUCCAGAGAUUUCGGAUACAGAAAACGAACGCUCGAAGCGCAUCGAUUGUGCCUCGCCGCUGCACACGCAAAAAAAUAUUCCCGUUAGAUGUACGUGAAUCUUCACUUGAACUGAAAAUUGCUUUCCUUAUUUCCAAAUUAUCUGAUUCCAAUAAAAGCCACUAAUUAUUUCGUUAUUACUACGUGAUAUUCCUAUUCGAGCCACAUGCCAUCAUGUCUAUGCUACGUGAUUUGUCACGUAGGUAUUGUUUCAUAUUGUCAUUACGUGACUUUCCAGUGUGAAAAAAACUACCAAAAAUCAACAUGGCGCUGAACUUCCUCCCAGACUUAAAUAUUCCUCGCGAUUUGCUGGUUAUUUUUAAACUUAAGUGUCUGAAAUUAAUCGUAAUGUACUUUCAAAAGAACAAAUUCAAUUAUUUUAAAGUGUUAUAUUGGAUUGCACGAACUGGUGACGCUUUCCCUGCAAGAUUUGAAGGAACACCCCUGGGAAUACCUAAAGCUGAUGCAAUCAGAUGUUGAUUACGAAAAUACGGACAUGAACAUCUUUUUUACGCGUAUCAGCUCAUAGAGGAAACAAAACGAAACACAGAAAGUACAACUGUUGUAAACAACAGCAUCCGGUUUGGAGGGACAUUUCUAAACUCUCAUUGAGGUCGUUCUGCAGGAAUUCCAACCUGAAAUGGAGAAGUGAACACGUAGCUGGAGGAAGAACUACGUGAAAAUAGUAUGGUUGUCGAAGAUAGCCAACCUCCAAGGGUCCAACGGAAGAAGGAAGGUUACACUCGCCGUCAGUCCCUCCGAACAAAUGUAUUGGUUUCAUCAAAAAAUGUUAUUAAUCAUGAAAAACAGUUUGAGUAUUUUAAUAAAAUAACAAAUAAAUUACGAAAACUCCGAUUUUGAAGCGAAUAAAUAAUACACAAGAAAGCAUUACAACUCACUGAAUAAUCAUCUAAGGAUCACAAGUAAUAUCAUGGAAAUGCAUUUAAAGUUUAUCAACAAAAUCCAAUGUAAUGUAUUAAAAUUUCACGUAAUUAUCAUCUGACAGCUGCAGGUAAUAAACUACAAAAUCACGUUAUUAUUAUCUGGCAACUGUAUAUAAUGAACCAGAAUCUGGCUGGCUUUGCUUUACUGGACUCCCCAGUUAGUUUUACGUGAAAAGUACUGUGGAAAAAAUCUAUGUAUGCUUUCACGUAAACCUAAGGUGAAUAUUUUUUUGGGUGCAAGACAACCAUCAUCGGAAUGCGUUUUGUCUGGCACACGGUGGACCUGUCAUCACCGCGGCAUUGUUUUUAUUAGCAUUUCGCGUGUUUUGGGCAAUGUUACAACGAGGAUGGAAUCAAAGCAGCCCUUGUUUUGGCGGUGGCACCCUUCACCCUUUCCACGCCGUCUAUUAUCGUUUUCGCUUUAUGUUUUUGUGUUGUUGGCGACAAAAGGGAAAGACAGUGCUGUUAUCAUUGUUUUACGUGAUGGGCGGAAAGCGGUGUGAAGUGCGUCAUUGAGAUGAAAAUAAAAGGACUUAACGAGCGGUUUUGGCCGCAAAAAUCAAAUAUAUUGACUACGAAAUGACGUUAAACUUAUCGUGUAACUGUCAAACAACAACAAUAACAACAGUAAAUGUACAUAAUAUCGCACUUUCCAAUACAGUAGACGUUCGCUCGGUGCAAACGCUUUAACUGCAAUGCUUUUUAACAGCAAGUCCGCUAAGUGCAACAAUUUUGCAGUUAUCGCACCACUAUCCGUCAAAAUGAAAUGUCAACAGCGAUGCGAUGUUUUUCGCAUGCACUUUUGUUGCAAUGCGAUGUUUUUCGUAUGCACAUUGGUUGCAUUCUGCAGCAACUGACAGUUACGUGACGUCUGUCAGUUGUUGCAGUUAUCGAAUUUCAUUCGGUAAGUGGAACGUAAACAUGUUGCACUUAUCGAACGUCUACUGUAUCGGAUUUGCGUGUUUUGACAGUUGACCGAUCGGAUUGAUGAUCGAUCCUUUGGAAGUGCAUCGAUUGAGCCUCGCCGCUGUGCGACAACGCGACAUCCAUCGGAAUGCGUUUUGUCUGGCACGGCACGUCGGACCUGUGUCAUCACCGCGGCAUUGUUUUUAUUAGCAUUUCGCGUGUUUUGGGCAACGAGGAUGGAAUCAAAGCAGCCCUUGUUUUGGAGGCAGUGGCGAAGAGGGCGGCGGCUGCGCCCUUCGCCCUUUCCAAGCCGUCUAUUAUCGUUUUUGCUUUUUUUUUGUUUUUUUGUUGUUGGCGACAAAGGGGAAAGGCAGUGCUGCUGUCAUUAUUUUACGUGCAAGGGGGAGAGCGACGUGAAGUGCGUCAUUGGAAUAAAAAUACAAAGAGCUUAACAAGCGCUUUUGAUCUUUUCAAUGAUGAAAAACUGAUCGAUUAACUGUCAAACAACAAAAACAAAAGCAGUUAAAGUAAAUGAAACCACUCGAUCUAAUAUCGGAUUUGCGUCUUUUGACAGUUGACCGAUCGGAUUGAUGAUCGAUCUGAUUGAACGACUGUCGAAUCGGAUGACAGUUCGCAUAGUGACAGUCAAAGAGACAGUUGAUCGAUAUUGUCGAUCAACUGUAAAACGGCACAGCGUAGACGUCAGAAGUUUUGAAUCCCGACAUCGUCAGCCGAAGGAAUUUUGACAUAAUCGAACCUCUGACGAAGGGAGGGGGGCGCAUUUCACCCCGCCCGUCCCAAUCGUGAUUCCGAUUAGAAGCGCGCUGCAGAGGAAUGAAGAAGGAAGAACCGGUCGCACGAGUUGCUGCCGCUGCUGCAACUCGCCAUCAUGCGAGCUUUGUUGUUUGCUGCGGCGUAUGAAUUUAUUUGUAUGUAUUAUUAAACGAAAACAAUGCUAUAUCGACACAUGACUUGCGCGGUGGUACAAGGGGAACCCGGGAACGAUUUCGCAAAUUUCUCCAGAACUGCGGGGCCGGCGAUCCGACGAAGUACCGCCGUAGGUUCGGAUUAAGCCGCGCCGACCGGCCGAUCGCGAGCAGCUCGACGCAAUUGGUAUUCCGCUCGCAAAAACGCAUUUUGCCGAAUCUGAUCGUCUUGUUUUGGCUUCGGCCUGCCAGCAGACUUAGACGAAAUUCCGAAGGCUUCCUGUCCCUACCGAUCGCGUCCCGGUUCUUCCGCGCAUCCUCUCGCAUCGCCAUAGGAAUGCAACUUUUAUCAGGACCGAAAGCGGCGGGUUCGAAAAUUGAUAUUCGGUAAUUUUAUGCCUCAGUUCGCCGCCCGUCCGUCGAUCGCGCAGGCAGACGACAGCGACGAUCAUCGAAGUCGGCGGCGACGGCGACGAUCGAGUGGUACGUGCUGCAAUUUCGGCCUGCUACGAACCCGGGGGAUCGUUCCCGGUACGGGGUGCGCGACGCGGGAUCAGGACCCCGAAAAAUAUAACGACACCGCAGCACCGCGCGCCACCUUGGCCUUGACCACGAUCACUGACAUUCGCAAUAAUAGGAUCGUGCGAAGCGGUGCUGGCCUGGCAGGCAAUCCGGUUCUCUACCACCACCCUGCCUAAGCAAGCAGCUGGUGAAGAGGCUCACCACUUGAAGUAGCUCGUUCGUAGCCAGCCAAGAGCCGAGCGUCAAUCACUGCCACCGGUUGUUGGACGACGUCCUCGCCUUGUGUAUUCGUCGUCUCGUCGUCCGCUCCCCGAACGAUUAGUCACGAUCACGAUCUAUACGCGCUUUCGCGCAUAGUCAAAAUUCCAAGGGAGGUCGAUCGGUCGGCCCGCUGCCAGGCCGAUCCUAGUCGAACGCCGCUCGCGCUAGAACGGCGAAAACGUCCGAUCCGACGCGAUCGCGCCCGACCGAUCGGACGAUCAUGCGAGGUGCGAUCGGCGUUGCCGCAGGCAACCGAAUCGCGCUUAAUCAUAGGAUUUUUAUGAAUGAAGCAUUAAUUCUCAUCACUUAGGACCCCCAUCCAUGCCGCGCCGCGCUGCGACGAUCGUUCGGCGCGUCUCCUCGGUUGCUGCGCCCCUUCGCGAUCGCUCGCGCGAUCGUGCCCUCUUGCUGCUUGUUGGGCCCCUGCUUCGCGCAAUUCGCUUUUGAUUAUUCAAUUUGGACCUCUGGCUCUGGCUGACUGGGUCUCGCUCUCUCUCUUUCUCUUUUAUGCUGCUUCUUCGGGGAGCGAUCGCGACGAUCGACGACUGGCGAAGCCGGCGACUGGUGGUGCGUAAGCUUGGCCUUUUUUCCUGCGCGAUCGCUUUUGUAUUACUUAAUUGUAAGCGAUUAUUACUAUUAUUAUCGAGUGCCCCCUCUGUGCCGUGUCCCGUCCCGCAUUUAAACCUUCGCGAUCGCCAUAGAGGUAAUGAGGGUCUGUGCGGAAUGUUAUUUGGUGGGACCCCAGAGGGUGAUCGCGCGAGAGCGAGAUCGACGGCGAUGGAAUGUGCGUUCCGAGCCGAGGUCUUUGCGAUCGCGGUAUUGGGUAAUAUUCAAAUUCGAUCGAGAGGGACACGGGGCAGCCGCGACAGGACGGGGACUGGAGGGUCUAAAAGUGGCACCACAUGAACAGGGGCUUUUUGUUUCUAUUAUGCGAUGAAACAACAGCGGAUGUGACUCGUUACAAUUGGAGAAUGGUAUUUCGAGCGAACGACGGGCGGCGUAGUACAAGAUCCUUCAGGCACGAUUCCGGCAUUUCGGGCAAGGUCGCUUGAUUUGCGUGAGAUCACCAGCGAUCGGAUGGCGAUCGAGUAAUUAUCGUCGGAUGUGGGCAUUGGUAGAUCAGAUCGAAGAUCCCAAUCAGUAGGCGGAGUUCGAAUCGAAGGCGGCUUAUUUUGAAAAGUCGUGGGCGGCUCUUCAGCCGCCUGUCAAACUGUGCAGUGUUGCCAAACUGCGCAAACGUCAACAUCGCACGAAAUUUUCGCUUUUCGACGAACUACAAAUCUCAGCCUACUGUGCCCGCAAAAAAAAGCUGCAAUAAGCGCUUCCAACCAGCUCCUACUAUCAGCUACGUUAUUUACUGCUCGUGGUGAUGAUUAGGCGUGGCAGGAAUAAUAUAUUUACAUUGAAACAGCUGAUUGGCGCCGCUGCUGCCGUAGCCGGCAGAGCCGCUAGUCGUCAUCCGUCGGUCGUUUUCUACAAUGUUUGCCGGCGGGAGUUAACCCUUUGACCUCCGCGCAACGCCAUUCAUCACUGCCUCGAUCGAUCAGCCGUUCUCGGUCUCUGAGAAUUAAUCAAUUUCGGAUGAAUCUUCCAGGAAUUUGACCACCACCGCGUCAUUCGCCGCGGUUGUGGCUUCGACUUCAAGGGCCUUCAAUUACGCCUUCCAAACGGCCAGACGACAGGGUCGAGCUGAUGCUCAAGGUCAUGACAUGCCUCGAUCACCAGGCGGCGAUCAUCCGAGAACGGCAAGCAGUCGCCGCGCAGUAGUCGCUGGGUGGUAAUUGCCAACGUCUGGAUGACGUCUGUGUGAGGGCCGCCUUUAAUUGAGCGAGAGGAGGAACAUUCCUUCGAACAAGCGCAGGAUCAGGACGAGUGACAGGACCGGGCACAGGAAGUCGCGGGAAAGCCGCGAAGAGAAACAUGCUGCUGACAUUCGUGGGAAUGCGAGGACCUUGUUUUGUGCGCCUCGGAGAGAUUAAGGAGCCGGUUUUGCGCCACCCGAAAUUUACCUGGCAGCGCGAAGUGCGCAAUGCAAAUUCGGGAUAAGCCGGAUGAUAGGGUUACCAAUCUAGAUUGAAGAGUUUUUGCGAAACUGUUGGCGUUGAUUCAGCGGCGACACAACGCUGCCGAUUUUGACAGAUGGCACGAACUCGCGUCACCAUGGUAACCCUAAUCGCCAAUGUACACACAAAAAUUCGGCUAAAAAAUGAACAACUCUUGCGGAGGAGAAUUCCGCAGUUUUGCCGCGGCAUACUGCGAUCAAAUUCGGUUUCUUCCGUCUCCUCCUCCGACCGAUAAGCGAACGGUUCGGGCGAUCCCUUUAAACACGGCUUUCGCUCUCAAGUAACCGGGAAAAUAAUAUAUGGAUGUUUCACUGCUUGCUUCUUCCGCUUCUUGUCGACGGCGAGCACAGAGCAACGUGUAAUCCGUGCAGUCCUUUUGGACCGCAUGACGACGAAAAGCAAACCAUGGUUUAAAGUUUCAUCCCAAUCAACAACAAACAACAACCUUCGGUCGAUCGGUUGGUCGGUCGGUUGCUUGGAUGCCCUCGGCCGAACACAUUUGAAUGUUUUUGUCCGCCCGGCCCGUUCCCGAAUCCUUUUAUCUUGACGCGCGACGCGACACGAACGAGCCGAACGAACGAACGAACCAAAGAAGGAAUGCCAAAGAUUCGCGAUAAACUUCGAAAUUUCGAUUCUUGGAAUUUUUUCGCCGGUCGUCGUCGCGCAUCGCAGCAGCCCGGGACUAAGACGACGAAAUUUGAGAGAUUUUUUCGGCAAUCGCGGUAGACGGGUUGCGUCGCUUCACCCUCAUACGAGGAGAUGCGCGGGGUCUUAUUGUCUUGUACAUCAUGAGCCGAAGCCGUGUGGGUCACGAAGUUGCAUAAUUAAGUGAGGUUAGACCCAAGGAUUUUCUUCUUCCUUUCAAUCGACCAAAAAAUUGAAAGAGAAAACAUUGGAAAAAAGCAUAUUGAUCCACCUAGCGCUGAUAGUGUCUUUCCUGUUACUUUUAUUUAUCAAAUUUUAACUUGUGAGACUUCGUUUACAGAGCUAAAUUUCAAAACAUGAUUUUUGAAGUGAAAUUAAACCCUUUCGGUACAGCUUUGCAGCACGAGAAAGCCGAAAACGAUUCGGUGAAAUUUGAAACCGUCGAUCACCGAAAGUUUGACGAAGCCCUUUCGCAUCCGACACGAAGCUGUUGUUGCAUCACUUCGUUGGGUUUCGUUUGCGUUCGGCGCGGCGCUUUCAUUCAUAAAAAAGUGAGAGUCACUCAAAAUUCUCGGGCAACUAGAUUGGGUUUUAAUGGCCGGUCGCUCGUCCGUCAAUCAGUUCAAGCCCAAGCCGCCUACUCUGUGUUUGCGUUGAUCUUUAGAGAGUGUUCCCUUUGUGGUGGAUCGAAGGAAUGCGUUUUGGGAUCGAUUCCUGGAAGGUUCCGUUCUUGAGUUUUUUUUUUAGAGAAGAACCCUUCGAAUGACUCGUCUGGUCAAUUUUCCAUAAAAACGAAGAUCUCACACCCAAAUGAUUCAAGUCCCCGCACUGAAAACUGUCCUGUAACGAUUUCUGAUGAAUUUUGCGCGCAAGGAGCGCCUUCCUUUAAUACGGGAAAGGUGCGUCCACAAAAGUGCAAUCUUAUCUGUCAGCUCUAAUCUUCAUUCGUGACUUUAACAUUUUCUCACUCUCGCGUCGGGCGCUUCCAGUUUGCUCUCUCUCUCUCUCCCGUUCAGUGAGUUGAUAAAUUACGGUAAUAAAAAUUACUUUUUUUGUGUUGGUAUUAUUUAUUUACCUCCGCGGCGACACGAUCUUUUGAAAAGCUCAUCCGAAGAGAGGUGCAUCAUUCUCACAAGACAGCGCACCGGUGCAGAUUAGAUCUGACAUUUUCCACCAACAAAAAUGUGAAAUUGAGAACUCUCAAACAAAACAUUCCAGGUCGUAAAACUUCCCAAACCCGACGAAAAAAAAAAUAACAAACGAGUGUUUAGUGAUUGAUUGUUGCUGAUUAGAUGCUGGCAACCGGCGCAAGAUGGCGUGGGAUCAUCAAAAACCUCAUUCCGAAUGAUCCGGAAAAAAUGAAGUCACACACAAAUAAAGCAAUAAAAAAACUCUGCUGGAGAAGCCGACGAUUCAUGUUCUCACCCUGCUGAUCACUCACCGUUCACGGGAACGAUCAAUCAAAGGUGGCUAUGACCCAACACCGUUAAAUCGAGCGCUCCUUCCAGGAAUUGACCGAUUUCCAGCGAGAGGAGAGAGGUGCGAGAACGAUCGCACAUCGGAAUCGCGGGGUUGCUUUGAUUUCCAUAGCCAUUUCGCCCUGUUCCACUACUAGCGAUGCAUUUGGAUCUGUCAAUCUGACACUUGCGCAAUCCGCGCUGAUCGGCGAUCGCGAAUUCUUCCCUGGUUGCAAGUCGCUGCCGCUGCAACAAGAUCCAUAAAUUAUUUCUAAUUGGCACAUUCCUUCCGAAUCAUGUUGACUGCUGCAGUGUCAGAACAAAAGGUCGAAAAAAAAACGCGAAAACAUCUGAUAAGUCAAAAACUUGUCCGCUUCGGCCCUUUCUUCUUUUCGCCCAGCCCACUACGAUCGAUGGCGACGCCACGGAACGACGGAUCGAUCGAUCCGGCUCUCUCACAGUUUCGGAAACAAGAAAUUGACCACCGAAAAUGGCCCAUUUAACUAACGCGAGCCGAGGACGCGGAUAAUUUAUUCGUCCCUCACGAGGGACGCGAGGAG